rnacentral:misc_RNA from 1 species
AGAUGGGCAUCUACUUCUCUUUGCAGUCCAAAAGGCAAUAUCACCUCUCUCUGGGGUCGCUUGUCAUCCAAAUCAGGUCUGUAAUUUGGCAGAGGUACUUUACUGAAGACAACAACUCUUGAAUACUGAUGGCUAUGCAAACCCANNNNNNGCCAAUGCUGACAGAUGCUCAAAAUCACGCCUGUCCUUUUUCUCCCUCGAAACGACUUCUUGCUCAUCUUUGUUGCGAAGUAGCAUCGUUAACUUCCAUCUCCAAUCAUCGAUGUUAUCAAGUGUG